CCUACGGGCGGCAGCAGUGGGGAAUUUUGGACAAUGGGCGCAAGACUGAACCAGCCAUGCCGCGUGCAGGAAGAAUGCCUUAUGGGUUGUAAACUGCUUUUAUAUGGGAAGAAUAAGGAGUACGAGUACUUUGAUGACGGUACCAUAUGAAUAAGCAUCGGCUAACUCCGUGCCAGCAGCCGCGGUAAUACGGAGGAUGCGAGCGUUAUUCGGAAUCAUUGGGUUUAAAGGGUCUGUAGGCGGGCUAUUAAGUCAGGGGUGAAAGGUUUCAGCUUAACUGAGAAAUUGCCUUUGAUACUGGUAGUCUUGAAUAUCUGUGAAGUUCUUGGAAUGUGUAGUGUAGCGGUGAAAUGCUUAGAUAUUACACAGAACACCGAUUGCGGAGGCAGGGGACUAACAGACGAUUGACGCUGAGAGACGAAAGCGUGGGGAGCGAACAGGAUUAGAUACCCUAGUAGUC
rnacentral:rRNA from 1 species